AGGAAAUGUAUAUAUGCAAGUUGUCAGUGAUGAUUUAUGUAUUAAUAUGAUAGUCACAUGAACUAAUGUAUUGAUUAUAAGAUCUACAGUAUUAGUAGUGCUCCAUUCUUUGGACUUAUUACAGUGAGGACAUAUUACGUGGGUGCUUUAGCCAGUAUAAAAAAAACAAAAAACCAGCAAUAAUAUUGAAGUUUUGCUGUACAUUUCCAUUAGACGAUUAAGCCACUCAACACUAUUUGAUAACUUUAUUAAAACAAGGGUUUCUGCUCAAGCUUUGUAUACAUUCCACCUAUGUCUGAUUUGUGAUGUGUCUAAUUAAUAUAAACUUUCUUAAUGACCACAACCUACACUUUGAAUUGAGUGUGUUUUACUUUGUAUAUGAACCAGUAGUGUGUGUUUGAUACAUUUUAAACUGCAAACAUGUUGGACUAAAUAAUUAGUAUGGCCCACAAAGAACUAUAACACAUAUAACUUAUUAUAGUGGUUGUGGUGCCAUGAAUCUGUGGCAUUGUCUAUCUUUUAAUUCUCAUCAUAAGCACACAUUCACAUAGCACCAUUCUCUGCCCAGCACUCCGAGCCAAGAACGGAGCAGAGCUGUGUGUGCUUAUAUGCUCACUCUCAAGUCUUCCUCAUACAAAUUCAGUCAGGAUGGGGGUGGAGCUUGAGGGCUACAUAUUUACAAGAAAAUAAAAUGAUUUUGAGAGAAUUUAUAGAGCAUGCUUCCAAGGAGCAUGGCUACCCAGCAUCGUAGCCAUUAUAAAAAGCUAUACUGCUUAUGGUGCUUAGUGGCAAGGUAAUAUGUUUGGGUUGUAAGAAGUGUGUGCUCUUUUUGCUUUUGGGUGGCUCAGCCCCAGAACAGACCUCAGUCUCUAUCAAUAUACAGAUUGGAAGCAUAAAGGAUAACGAUCUACUGGGCUAAUAAAAU